rnacentral:rRNA from 1 species
AUUGAACGCUGGCGGCAGGCCUAACACAUGCAAGUCGAACGGUAACAGGAGGCAGCUUGCUGCUUCGCUGACGAGUGGCGGACGGGUGAGUAAUGUCUGGGAAACUGCCUGAUGGAGGGGGAUAACUACUGGAAACGGUAGCUAAUACCGCAUAACGUCGCAAGACCAAAGAGGGGGACCUUAGGGCCUCUUGCCAUCGGAUGUGCCCAGAUGGGAUUAGCUAGUAGGUGGGGUAACGGCUCACCUAGGCGACGAUCCCUAGCUGGUCUGAGAGGAUGACCAGCCACACUGGAAUUGAGACACGGUCCAGACUCCUACGGGAGGCAGCAGUGGGGAAUAUUGCACAAUGGGCGCAAGCCUGAUGCAGCCAUGCCGCGUGUAUGAAGAAGGCCUUCGGGUUGUAAAGUACUUUCAGCGGGGAGGAAGGGAGUAAAGUUAAUACCUUUGCUCAUUGACGUUACCCGCAGAAGAAGCGCCGGCUAACUCCGUG